CUAUUGCAAGUUGAUUUAUAUCAAACUUUCUUAGUAGAAUGGCAAUCCGCUUAAAUCCCCUCCUUUUUAUUUUUGCGAUUAUGUGCAUUGCUACCCUCAUGGUUGCAGGAUUUCAAGAUUUGCAACAUUCUGAUACAUUACGGUGCUUUAACUCUGGUGCAUGUCCAAAUGAUAUUGAAGCUUGUCGACAAUCUUGUAUAUCAAAGGGUUUUCCUAAAGGUGGCAAGUGUGGAGCGAAAUUAUCCACAUGUUGCUGCUAUGGAGAUUAGAUAUAUCUACAGACAAUAUUAGUCAAUUACAAAUAAAAGCUUUAAGACUUUUACAAAAGAAGUUGAAAAUCAAUUAUGUAAUUUCUUUUAAAUAAUAUUGCUGUGAAUUUUUUCUGUC